CAAAGUAUUUGGAAACUCUGUUAAAAACAGCUCUCGAUACCAAGUUCCUCAUUCUAGUAAGAAAUGGAUAGUCAAAAAAAAAAAAAAAGAAAGAAAGAAAAAGAAAGAAAGAAAGAAAAGAAAGAAAGAAAGAAAGAAAGAAAGAAAGAAAGAAAGAAAGAAAGAAAGAAAGAAAAAAGAAAUGGAUAAUCAAAAAACUUUGGAUGCUCUGAAAAUGGAGGAAAUAGUUCGAUAUUCAAUGCUGCAAAUUGUACUUAUUUCGAUGGAUUUAGGACGUAGCUGGUUGAAUAAAAGGCGCGUGGAGGUGAAUUGUACUUCUGGCCUGCUGCGGAUGAAUGUGGCCCUGUGA
rnacentral:lncRNA from 12 species